rnacentral:rRNA from 1 species
AACGAACGCUGGCGGCAUGCCUAACACAUGCAAGUCGAACGAGACCUUCGGGUCUAGUGGCGCACGGGUGCGUAACGCGUGGGAACCUGCCCUUAGGUUCGGAAUAACUCCCCGAAAGGGGUGCUAAUACCGGAUAAUGUCUUCGGACCAAAGAUUUAUCGCCUUUGGAUGGGCCCGCGUUGGAUUAGCUAGUUGGUAGGGUAAAAGCCUACCAAGGCGACGAUCCAUAGCUGGUCUGAGAGGAUGAUCAGCCACACUGGGACUGAGACACGGCCCAGACUCCUACGGGGGGCAGCAGGGGGGAAUAUUGGACAAGGGGCGAAAGCCUGACCCAGCAAUGCCGGGGGAGGGAUGAAGGCCUUGGGGUUGAAAAGCUUUUUUACCCGGGAUGAUAAGGACAGUACCGGGAAAAAAAGCCCCGGCUAACUCCGG